rnacentral:rRNA from 1 species
UACGUAUGGAGCAAGCGUUAUCCGGAUUUACUGGGUGUAAAGGGUGCGUAGGUGGUCUGGCAAGUCUGAUGUGAAAUGCCGGGGCUCAACCCCGGAGCUGCAUUGGAAACUGCUGGACUGGAGUGCAGGAGAGGCAGGCGGAAUUCCUAGUGUAGCGGUGAAAUGCGUAGAUAUUAGGAAGAACACCAGUGGCGAAGGCGGCCUGCUGGACUGAGACUGACACUGAGGCACGAAAGCGUGGGGAGCAAAC